CUGAACCUUCCAUUUGGCCCAAUUAAGACUGGGGGUGGAGCUCGGCCCAGUGUCAGACGCUAAAACCAAGCCUCGGCGAGCAUCCCCGGCCUCACCGUCGUAUCUCCUCGCCGAUGAAGGGUCUAUGGCGGCGAUCGCUUUACGUGUAUGGAGGCUUUCGGGGCUUUUCGAGUAGAGGCGAGCUCAGGCUUGAUGGAGUCAAAGACAUCGUCGCCGUGGCCUCCGGGAAAGGCGGCGUCGGCAAGUCCACCACCGCAGUUAAUUUGGCUGUUGCACUUGCUCACAUGUGUCAACUCAAGGUGGGCUUGCUAGAUGCUGAUAUUUAUGGACCAUCCGUUCCCACUAUGAUGCAAAUACACGAGAAACCAGACGUGACUGAAGAUAAGAAGAUGGUUCCUAUCGAGAUGUAUGCGGUCAAGUGUAUGUCAAUGGGUUUGCUUGUUGAAAAGGAUGCACCAAUUGUAUGGAGAGGUCCUAUGGUAAUGAAGGCUCUUGAAAAAUUGACAAGGGGAGUCCAUUGGGGAAAUCUUGAUAUUCUUGUAGUGGAUAUGCCACCAGGCACGGGCGAUACGCAAAUAAGCAUGACACGGAGGCUACAACUAUCGGGUGUGUUGAUUGUUUCCACUCCCCAAGAUGUUGCCUUAAUCGAUGCUCGAAGAGGAGCUAGGAUGUUUGCUAAUGUUCAAGUUCCUAUUUUGGGGAUUAUAGAGAACAUGAGCUACUUUAAAUGCCCACAUUGUGGUGAACCUUCAUUCAUUUUUGGAAAAGGGGGAACCCAAAAGACGGCCAAUGAGAUGGGUUUGGAAUGUAUUGCUGAGAUACCAUUGCAAGGAGACAUCAGAGAGAGUAGUGAUGAAGGUUUUCCUAUUGUACUAUCGGCUCCCAAUUCGGCUGUUUCCAGAGCUUACGGUGAUCUCGCUCAUAAAGUUGUGGACAAGCUGAAGGGAUUGGCUGAGCAGCAGUCGCCCCACAUGGAAUUGCACCUGUGAUAUCGUGAUAUACAUGUAGUUUGCCGACUUUCCUCCUUUGCUUUGAUAGGUAGACCUAGAAGCAUCUCAAUUUAGGGUGGCAAGAAAGCAUCACGUACUUAUUGUGAUCCGUAGUGAAGAUUGGUUAACAUGAUCUUUACUUUCGAUUUAACUUUGGGAAGACAAGAAUUUGCACAGAAAAAGUUAUCCUUUGUCUUGUUAGUCAACGAUGUUUCAUCUCUGGAUCUGAACAAUGUGGAGUGUGUCCUUACCAUAAUUGUC